GGGUGAUUAGCUCAGUUGGUAGAGUACCUCUUUUACAAGGAGGGGGUCGCCGGUUCAAAUCCGUCAUCACCCA
rnacentral:tRNA from 1 species